rnacentral:tRNA from 1 species
GCCCCCGUAGCCCAAACGGCAGAGGCAGACGCCUUAAAAGCGUUCCAGUGUCGGUUCGAAUCCGACCGGGGGCACCA